GGGGAUGUAGCUCAGUGGCAGAGUGCCUGCUCCUCAUGCAUGAGGCCCUGAGUUCAAUCCCCAGCAUUACAA
rnacentral:tRNA from 1 species